rnacentral:rRNA from 1 species
GACGAACGCUGGCGGCGUGCUUAACACAUGCAAGUCGAGCGGUAAGGCCCUUUCGGGGGUACACGAGCGGCGAACGGGUGAGUAACACGUGGGUGACCUGCCCUUAGCUCUGGGAUAAGCCUGGGAAACUGGGUCUAAUACCGGAUAUGACUCCAUGACGCAUGUUGUGGGGUGGAAAGCCUUGUGCGGCUAGGGAUGGGCCCGCGGCCUAUCAGCUUGUUGGUGGGGUGANGGCCUACCAAGGCGACGACGGGUAGCCGGCCUGAGAAGGCGACCGGCCACACUGGGACUGAGACACGGCCCAGACUCCUACGGGAGGCAGCAGUGGGGAAUCUUGCGCAAUGGGCGAAAGCCUGACGCAGCGACGCCGCGUGGGGAUGACGG